rnacentral:rRNA from 1 species
GACGAACCGUGCGACCGUUAUUCGGAAUCACUGGGCUUAAAGCGCGUGUAGGCGGGCCGGCACGUCGGUCGCUGAAAUCCCCCGGCUCAACCGGGGAAGGGGCGCCGAUACGACCGGCCUGGAGGGGGGUAGGGGGCGCUGGAACUCACGGUGGAGCGGUGAAAUGCGUUGAGAUCGUGAGGAACGCCCGCGGCGAAAGCGAGCGCCUGGACCCUUUCUGACGCUGAGACGCGAAAGCCAGGGGAGCGAACGGG